rnacentral:lncRNA from 1 species
UCGGGUGGAUGGAACAGCUCCAUCCCCCGGUGCCACCCCUGCCCCGCAGGUGUCCACCAAGGGCGAGGCUCUGGGCGAUUUGGGCACCAUCCUGCUGGGUUUCGAGUGGCCCUACGAGGUCCCCAACGGGAAGUGGCUCCUGUACCCCACCGAGAUCCUCACCGACGGCAACGGCUCCUGCCGGCCCCCCGGGGGGGUCAUCAACCCCCUCAACCUCACGCUGCUGGAGGACGGGACCCCGCCGCGGCGCAGGAGGGAGCUGGGGGCGGCCGAGCCCGCGGAGCCCCCCCUGACGCUGGGCACAGCCAAGAAGGCAAAGUCGGAGGUGCUGCUGGUGAGUGGGGGGCUGCGGGGGGGCUCUGGGUGCAGCCCAGUGUGCGUGGGUGAUGACCCCAAACUGCAUGUGUGUGUGUACAGUGACCCCAAACUCAGCACAUGGUGACCCCAAACUGCAUGUGUGGUGACUCCAAACUGUACAUGUGCACAUAGUGACCCCAAACUGUGCACACAGUGACCCCAAACUGCACAUGUGCAUGUGUGGUGACCCCAAACUGCGUGUGGUAACCCCAAUCUGCACAUGUGUGCCUGCAGUGACCCCAAACUGCACGUGUGCACGUGUGGUGACCCUAAACUGUAUGCGUGUGCAUGUAGUGACCCCAGACUGUGCACACAGUGACCCCAAACUGUACAUCUGUAUGUACAGUGACCCCAAACUCUGCACAUGGUGACCCCAAACUGCACAUGUGGUGACCCCAAACCGCACAUGUGCCUGCAGUGACCCCAAACUGUGCACACAGUGACCUCAAACUGCAUGAGUGGUGACCCCAAACCACACGUGUGCCUGCUGUAACCCCAAACUGUGCAUGUGUAGUGACCCCAAACUGCAUGUGUGUGUAUGGUGACCCCAACCUGUACAUGUGUACCUGCACCGACCCCAAACUGUGCACACACUGACCCCAAACUGCACUUGUGGUGACCCCAAACCACACGUGUGUGCCUGCAGUGACCCCAAACUGCACGUGCACAGUCCCACCCACCUCACCCAUACCCACUUGGGG